GGAGGUGUGGCCGAGUGGUUUAAGGCAGCAGUCUUGAAAACUGUCGUAGGGGCGACUCUACCGUGAGUUCGAAUCUCACCGCCUCCGCCA
rnacentral:tRNA from 1 species